GGGGUUGUAGCUCAGAGGUAGAGCACUUGCCUAGCAUGUGUGAGGCACUGGGUUCGAUCCUCAGCACCA
rnacentral:tRNA from 1 species